UACAGAGACUGCAAGCGUUAUUCGGAUUCACUGGGCGUAAAGGGUGCGCAGGCGGUCGGGUGUGUCAGAUGUGAAAUACCGAGGCUCAACCUCGGAACUGCGUCUGAAACUACUCGACUAGAGUACUGGAGAGGGUAACGGAAUUCACGGUGUAGCAGUGAAAUGCGUAGAUAUCGUGAGGAACACCAGAGGCGAAGGCGGUUACCUGGACAGUUACUGACGCUCAGGCACGAAAGCAUGGGGAGCAAAAGGG
rnacentral:rRNA from 1 species